rnacentral:lncRNA from 10 species
GCCAAUUUACAUUCAUUUGCACCUGAUGGGUGCCUGAAAUGGAUGGAUUUGAUUUGUGCCUGAUCUGUAAGUGUCUAAUUUAUUAAUCAAUGAAACGUCAUGUACAGACUUGAGGAUCCCCAGUUCCAGCCGGCCUCCCAUAUAUAUGUAAAUAAUGCAAUCUCUCAAUCUACUUGUUAUGUAAAUGUUAAUAUAAAACUGACAGAAAUAUGCAUCUGCAGAACUUUAUGAGCAAAGAGAACUGAGAUUUACACAUGCUCCGAGCCCACCCUUUGCCCCUCAGUUCCUGUGGUGCCUCCUUCCUCUUGCCAUACUUUCUUCUUACUUUCCCCUUAGGUCAGUUGACCCAUCUCACCUCCUCCAGGAAGCCUCGCUGCUCCAGCCCUCCCACACUGCCAGGCCUCCAACCACCAGCCCUGGCUCUUACAACCUGGACAAUCUUGCUUUUUUCUGGCCCUGGAACUUUGCCCGCAAGACCACGCCUCAGGGUGGAAAAUGAAAGAUGCUUAAGGUCACUGCCCCUCCUGUUCUGUACACAAGCCUAAGCUCGGGAGGAAAUAAUUUGAGGUAUCUGGAAGAAGCAGAGAGAGCAGGGCAGCUCUGAAGUCACUGCGAGGCUGUGAGAGGUCAGCCAGCGCUUCAAAGGACCCCAGGACCUUUGCAUAACCCUGGACUGAAUGGGAAGGGAAAGUCCCAGUCAUGACAGAAACGGAAUUUCCCACCAACUCAGUAGGAGGUUUGGGGUUCAGGGUCAGUUUCAUGGCAGUGCAAACAAAAUAAAGAAAAUGUGAUAUUUAUUGCUUACUUAAAUUUGUGGACCAAACUGCCUACCAUGCUAUCCACACUGUUUCCUGCAGGUGGUCAAUGUGGGCUUAAGGGAAAAGUAACUCAUCUUAAUAUUUGCUUAAAUCAAAUGGAAUAUAGAAAGUAAAUAAAUCUGCUGCCAAGCCAUCAAGUAGGGCAUUCUAAACCCAAAAUAAAGAGCCUAUGGACUGUCUGUGGAUUUAGAUUAUGCAUAGUUUUCUGCCACCACUCCCUGUAUUCAAAUCAAUAGUCACAUUUCAUUGCAGACACUUGGAGCUGUCUGGGUUCAAAUCCCAGCUCUGUUGCUUAUUAGCUGAGACACUUCAGCCAAGGUACUGACACUCUCUGUGCCUCAAUUUCCCCAGCCAUUAAGUAGGAGUCAUAAUUGCAUAACCCCCACAGGGUGGAUGUGACAAUUCAACCGGAUCACAAAAGUGCAUGCUCAGCCUAGUGCCUGGCACACUGUAAGGAUCAAUAAACAGGAGCUAUUAUUAUUAUGCUAAUUUGAAGGAUUCUUGUUUUUAAACGUCCUCAUUUCACAUUGCAGAUACCCAAAUAGAAACACAGAUUUUCAUUUGCUUACAAACCUUCCACUUUUCUCCAGCUAGAAGUUACAGGUGGCCCCUAUGGGUGAAUGUGUUAGGUAACACUCACACUUUAAGCAAGGGGAAAUGCAGGCCCAGAGAGAGU